rnacentral:lncRNA from 1 species
GUUAGUAUAAAAACCCAGUAUCUGACAUAGGCAAAUUUCUAUCUUCUAACACACACACACACACACACACACACACACACACAAACUGCUUUUAAGAGAAAGUUGUCACUUGAGCAAAAACUUUCAUCUUUAGCUGAUCCAAUGACGGGAAGCUAUUUGGCAUAGACUUAGUAAAACCUUCACGCAAAACCAGCAGAGGAACUGCCAGAGCUUCCAUAUAGGGUGUAACUUGAGGAGUCAUCCUGAUGCUGGAAGAGCCGUCCAGCUUUCCAGAAGGAGGCCAGUAAAAAGCGGGGAGAGAUACUUCUCAAAUCUCAUCAUCAGGCGGCUGAAGUGUUUGCUGUUGGAGCCCUGAGCCACAAUGAAAAGUGGACUAUCUGGCCAGAGAGACUCUUGGAGAGAGAACGAUGCCGAGUCAGCCCUAGCUGUGACAGUCAGACUCUUGGAGGAGCCCCACAUGGGAGUCAAGAAGCACUCCUUAAGUUCAGCCCCUGUCCAGCCACAAGGUCUACCCACAGAAGCAUAAAAACAAUAAAAUGUUGUUUUAAGCUACAAAGUUUGAGUAAAUGGUGUGUCAAACAGUACUAGAUAACUGAAACAACCAUGAGUGUAUCUGUGUGUGACAUCCACUGAAAUUCUCCAACUUUGCUCUUGUAUUUUUGUUUUUAUUUUUUUAAUUAUAGGAUAUUUAAUAAGUAAGACAGAGUAAAUAAACUUUACUUGUACAUUUUAGCAUAAUUAACAAAGAAUUA